rnacentral:rRNA from 1 species
GAUGAACGCUAGCGGCAGGCUUAAUACACGCAAGUCGAGGGGUAGCAAGAUUGUAGCAAUACAAUUGUUGACGACCGGCAAACGGGUGCGGAACACGUACACAACCUUCCUACAAGUGGGGAAUAGCCCAGAGAAAUUUGGAUUAAUACCCCGUAACAUAGCGAUGUGGCAUCACAUUGCUAUUAUAGCUUCGGCGCUUGUUGAUGGGUGUGCGGCUGAUUAGAUAGUUGGCGGGGUAACGGCCCACCAAGCCUACGAUCAGUAGCUGAUGUGAGAGCAUGAUCAGCCACACAGGCACUGAGACACGGGCCCGACUCCUACGGGAGGCAGCAGUAAGGAAUAUUGGACAAUGGACGCAAGUCUGAUCCAGCCAUGCCGCGUGAAGGAUUAAGGUCCUCUGGAUUGUAAACUUCUUUUAUAGGGGACGAAAAAAGGUCUUUCUAGAUCGUCUGACGGUACCUUAUGAAUAAGCACCGGCUAACUCCGUGCCAGCCGCCGCGGUAAGAC